rnacentral:rRNA from 1 species
UUGGAAGGGGAAGUCGUACCAGGGUUCCCGUGGGGGAACCUGCGGAAGGAUCAUGU